CCUACGGGAGGCAGCAGUGAGGAAUUUUGGUCAAUGGACGAGAGCCUGAACCAGCCAAGUAGCGUGAAGGAUGACUGCCCUAUGGGUUGUAAACUUCUUUUAUAUGGGAAUAAAGCGGUCCACGUGUGGGAUUUCGUAUGUAUCUUAUGAAUAAGGAUCGGCUAACUCCGGGCCAGCAGCCGCGGUAAUACGGAAGGUCCGGGCGUUAUCCGGUUUUAUUGGGUUUAAAGGGAGCGUAGGUGGAUUGUUAAGGCAGUUGUGAAAGUGUGCGGCUCAACCGUAAAAUUGCAGUUGAAACUGGCGGGCUUGAGAACAGUAGAGGUCGGCGGAAUUCGUGGUGUAGCGGUGAAAUGCGUAGAUAUAACGAAGAACUCCGAUUGCGAAGGCAGCUGACUGGACUGCAACUGACGCUGAGGCUCGAAAGUGUGGGUAGCAAACAGGAUUAGAUACCCGAGUAGUC
rnacentral:rRNA from 1 species